rnacentral:rRNA from 1 species
UACGGAGGGAGCAAGCGUUACUCGGAAUUAUUGGGCGUAAAGGGCGCGUAGGCGAUCUGACAAGUCUGGUGUGAAAGCCCACAUGUUAACUGUGGAAGUGCAUUAGAAACUGUUGGAUUUGAGUUCAGGAGAGGAAGGCAGAAUUCCCGGUGUAGCGGUGAAAUGCGUAGAUAUCAGGAGGAACACCGGUGGCGAAGGCGGGGAUCCUGGCCAGUACGGUCGACUUCGUCGAUGACGGCUGGACGGCGAAGCCGGAAAUGGGGAGCCAAGCU